GGAAUUUAAAUCUAUAUAUAACUUUGUCUUUUUGCCACUUCAAAAGUGGAUAAAAAGUAGACGAAAAGUUAAGGUUAUAGCCUUACUUUUUUGGCACUUUUUCAAAGAUAGGAAAAAUAUCUAAAGGAAUUUAAAGAAUUUCAAGAAUGUCAUGCAGGAAUGUAAAUCUAUAUAAUUGAUUGUGAUCAACUGCAAGGUCUGGCCAAACUUACAUCGGUGCUUUUUGUUCGUGGCAUGAGAUUGGGGCAGCUCGCUUGUGGGCCACGAAAGAUCAAGCCGAAGUACAACCAAACCACUGAUUUGUGGCCAGCUUUUUGUCUGUAUUGGCUUUACCCAGCGUUUUCCCGUUAUCAUUUUGAUGCAGACUUUGGGAAUUGGCUUGAAUAUCUUUAAUAUAAACGUUCUUUGAGGUUUAAUCUUUCCAGAAUUUCAUGGUUUUUGACUAGUUAAGGUGUUGCUUGCAGAUAUAUAAUUGUAUUAAAAAAAUUUAACCAAUAAAAUUGAAAACUAGUGUGACCAGAUAUUUUGCAAGGCAAUUACUAAAUAAGCAUGCAAAAAAUUACUAAAACGCAGAACAAAUUACUAAAUUUCUGCUCAACCAAAGUGGUCUGAAAACCAAUAAAACAUCUCAGCAAAACAAAAUCAGUAAAACGCUUUCCAUCACUGAAACUAUGUUUUUUUCCAGUUUUUCUUUCUCACUUGUACAGUUGAUUGAAUUUGUGCAAAAUGCAAAUAUGGCACCGCAAUGAUUGGGCCCGGGCCCUGGCUCCCUAGCACGCAAUCAGCACAGGGUGAAUGGUGAUCAGCAGGAUUCCGUCGAUUCAGCUAGGCAGUUUGGGCCAGUAGCUUGCAAUUUGGAUGUACAGCUUUGCAGGCAUGGACCUGUAACUGUUCUCAUUGGAUUUUGAAUAACAAGUUGUGUCAUUAUGGCGUAUUUGGUUGAAUUUCAUGCGAUAACCAAAAUAUUACUAACUUUAAAGCCCGCCGCACACGAGCGCACUUGUCACGCGUACUUGUUAUUCGUGACAAGUUGGAUCUACAAAAUUUCCUUGUGUGCGGGGGCAACAUUUACUGCAUUUUCGUCAUCGUGACAUGUAAACCAAAUAUCAAACAUGUUUGAUAUUUUUCGUCAUUCGUGACAAAAAAAUUCUCGUGUGCGGCGAGCAAACGACAAGUUCGCCUGAAUAGGAAAAUUCGCGCAUGCGUGCAACUUGCAGAAUUAAAAACAAGACACGAGCUCGUGAUUUUGAUCCGCCAUGUUGUUUUUAAUUCUGCAAGUUGCACGCAUGCGCAAAUUUUCCUAUUCAGGCGCGCUUGUCGUUUGCUCGCCGCACACGAGAAUUUUUUUGUCACGAAUGACGAAAAAUAUCAAACAUGUUUGAUAUUUGGUUUACACGUCACGAAUGCCGUAAAUGUUGCCCGCACACGAGGAAAUUUUGUCGAUCCAACUUGUCACGAAUAACAAGUACGCGCGACAAGUGCGCCCGUGUGCGGCGGGCUUAAGAGAAACCAAAAAUUUUCAAUUACCAAAAAAGUCAGAAAAAUUGCGAAAUAUUACCAAAAGUAAUUAAAAUUACCAAAUCUGGUCACGCUGUUGAAAACUGACCAAAACGUCACUUGAGGUGUCGGAUGGGAGGUCCAGUGGGAGUCGUAGCGGAUAACAAUGGAUAAAUACGGAUUACCGUUUAUUAUUGAAGAUCGAUACUGUGAAUGUUAAUGGAUUAUUAUGAACAAUAAUGGAUUAUUCUGAACAUUGAUGGAUUACACAAACACUUCAGGAUUAUUGUGAACAUUAGUGGAUAAAAUGUACCUCGCGAUCGACUGUUACCUAGCAAUGUACCUUGAUAACGAAAGCUGCACGACGGCAACGAGAGGACUGCCUCAAGGUUAGGGACGGACCAUUAGAAAAGUGAUGGGGUUGGAGCAAAACCAAAAAAUUUAUUCCCAGAAAAAAAUUAAGAAAAAAAAAUCUUUCCAGGCAUAGUGCAAAAAAAAAAUUCCUUGCUUCGAAGAUAGGCCAAGUGGUGUACUGGAGGGAGGACUCAGGGGGGCUGAGCCCCCCUUGUUGAAAUUUCAUGUUGACUUGGGGGGCUGCACGUUGGUCAAAUUUAGCAAAAUUUCUCCCACUCGUGCGGGUUCGUAUUGACAGCGGACAUCUUACAGAAAGUGGCCAGUUCUCUGAAAAAUGCAAAAGUUUCAAUUUUACACCGCAAGUCCACUGACAAUAUGAGCCUGCGGUCCUGGGAGAAAGAUACAUGCUAUCAGGGCGCUAUAAAACACGGGCGGUGAAACGGAGAUAGCGCCCCUGAUUUUUGUGUGAUGCGCGUACCCCCCGUAUACAUUAAUUUAAUGUCAAUAAAAAUGGAAAUGGAUGCAAAAACGAGCUGAAAAAACUAAAGUAAAAAAUGUUUUCUGCACAUUCCUAAACAACUUGAUGGUUUGAAGACAUUGUUGGAUUCAUUUUCUGUAUAUCUGAUGAAGGAAAGAGGGCUUUAAAGAUUCAUCAUGAGCGAAAUAAAAAUUUGAAAAGGAUCGAGUUGAUCGAAUGUGGGCAUAUUCCAAAAAUAUUAUACGAAAAUUUAUUAGCGCGUUUCCCCGCCCGUGUUUUAUAGCGCCCUGAUCAUAGAGAUUAUAAAUAACACUAGAGGAGGCAUCGAGUUUAAAAAUUGGGAACGCAGCUAAUGGGGGGCAAAUUCAAGUCCCGGAUAAAAAAUCGUGC